rnacentral:rRNA from 1 species
AGAGUGAGGCGACCCCGCGAGGGUGAGCGAAGCACAAAAAAGCCGUCCCAGUUCGGAUUGUAGUCUGCAACCCGACUACAUGAAGCUGGAAAUCGCUAGUAAUCGCAGGUCAGCAUACUGCGGUGAAUACGUUCCCGGGUCUUGUACACACCGCCCGUCACACCAUGGGAGCCGGAAAUGCCCGAAGCCAGUGACCCAACCUUAGGGAGGGAGCUGUCGAAGGUGGAGCCGGUAACUGGGGUGAAGUCGUAACAAGGUAGC